UCCCUGUUACCAGGGCAGUCUAGCUAGAAAAAUACAACUAACUAUAAGGGUUGCGCUCGUUGAUGGACUUAACCAAACAUCUCACGACACGAGCUGACGACGGCCAUGCAUCACCUGUCACUUGGUUCCAAAGGCACUCUCUCCUUUCGGAGAAAUUCCAAGGAUGUCAAGCCUGGGUAAGGUUCUUCGCUUACCAUCGAAUUAAACAACACGCUCCACCGCUUGUGCGGGUCCCCGUCAAUUCCUUUAUGUUUUAGUCUUGCGACCGUACUCCACAGGCGGGAUGCUUAACGCGUUAGCUUCGCUACGUCGCGCAGAACCGAAGUCCCACACCUAGUACCCACCGUUUACGGCGUGGACUAC
rnacentral:misc_RNA from 1 species